UACAGAGGUCCCAAGCGUUGUUCGGAUUCACUGGGCGUAAAGGGUGCGUAGGCGGGGUCUUUAAGUCAGGGGUGAAAUCCUGGAGCUCAACUCCAGAACUGCCUUUGAUACUGAAGAUCUUGAGUUCGGGAGAGGGUGAGUGGAACUGCGAGUGUAGAGGUGAAAUUCGUAGAUAUUCGCAAGAACACCAGUGGCGAAGGGCGGCUCACUGGCCCGAUACUGACGCUGAGGCACGAAAGCGUGGGGAGCAAACAGG
rnacentral:rRNA from 1 species